rnacentral:lncRNA from 1 species
UAUCAUCCAAUGCAAAGAAGGUAUAGGUCUCAGUCCCGGGCCUUGUGUGUGCUCUAGCCAAGUGCCAGCUUAAGCGGGUGAAAUGUGUAGUCCCAUAAGUCCUCCCGAGUGCUGGGGCCCUCCUUCUCCAGCUGAGCUCGUAAUGCCACAGCAGGUUCCACGGUUACAUUCAAAAGCCUCAGCAGGGAAGGCUGGCCCAGAUCUGAGGGGAAAGCGUGGGGUGAACACAGAACAUAAACCCAGCCGAGGCAGCUGCCACUUCAGAGAGCCAAAAUAGGGUGGGCUCAGUUAACAAAACAAAUCGCACACUUCAGAAUGUGUUAGCAUUGUCAGGCAGGAUAUCCGGGAAUUUUAGUAGUUUCGUACUUAAUAGUCAUUAGGUGGCUUUGGCUGAACCUCCCCAUCUAUGAAGUUUCCCUGGCGUCAGCUGCCGUCUUUGCAUCUCCCUCUGGCAGGAUUUGGGAGUGAGCUUUGUGGAGGUGAGAGGAAAAAGGAUGGAUCCCAGGAGGCUGUCCUUCCCGGGUUCCUGGGUAGAGGGCUCAGCCUUAGUGAGGCAGAGACUGCUCAUGGAGUCCAGGUUGCCUUCCUCUCCAGCAGAGUUGAUGGAAAGAGCUUGGAUGUGUGGAAGGAAGCUGUUAUACAAGUUCAAGGUAAUGUCACUCGCCAGAGCAGGACCUUCGCUUUUUACCUGAGCUUACCUCACAGGCUCGCAUCUUCCCCUCAGCUCUCCUCCCCUCCUCCUUUCUCUCCUGGUUUGCUUUUGGUCAGAAGUGAUUCUUCACGUUUGGGAUCAGUGGGGUGCUGCCUAAGCUGGAUGUCCAUUCCUACCAUGCGUAAGUCAUGGCUCAGUGGGAACCACUUAGGGCUCGCAUUUAGUCUAGUCACUAAUAGAAGAGCCAGUCUGCCCUAUGUUUUAGAAAAAUCCAGAUUUGAGAAACACUGGUGGUAGCUCAGCUCAGUUCAGGUAGGGGAACCACAGUGCCCAGAGCUGCACACAUCGUGUCCACACUGUGAGCCUCCUGGAGGGGGACAGAACCCUACUCACCUGUGUGUGUCUUAGGGUAGGUGCUCGAAAUGUUUGCUGAGAAAAAAAACUAUAAAAGGAAGGGAAUACUCAGGCCAGAGCCUCCUCAGGGGAAACUCAGUGGGGCCAAAUAAAAGUCUUUUGUUUCACUUUAUCUUAGGAAUUGCUGAUUUGAAGGCCUCAUAGGUCGUCACUGCCUCCCCCAGCUAUAGUUACCAUUUGACAGCACCCCAGUUGGUUGGGGAGAUGCCUGGGACAGCUGGCGGCCUGAGGCGGAGACAGGAGCUGGAGAGGCAGGUCACCCUGGGAUUUGGGUGGGACAGCUCAUUGAGGAGGCUGUGAGGGGGCUGCCGCUUCCCCAUCCUCCUGCGCCCAGGCGGUGAUGGCAAGGACGAGGGCGCUGGUGUCGGGGUAGCCCAAGCUGGUGCGAGAAUUUAAGGCAGCAAGCAUACCCCCUGCUUGCUGAGCUUGAGAAACAGCCUGCAUACAGUGACAGUUCACGAACGGUUACUGCUGUGUCCCCCUGAAAACAGCAGCGCUUUCCUUCCGCCCUUUCAAUGACAGGCUGUAGCUUGCCGUCUGCGGUGAGAGGCAGAGUUUCUCACGCCAUGUUGAAAUCUUUCUGUGUUGCUCCAGGGGUGGGCUGCUAUUGAGUGGAUAAUUGAGCAUUCUGAAAGCGCUGUGAGCUAACGGGGUCCGCGCCUGCGCCUGGUGACAAACGGCGGAUUUAUUGUCAAGGGAAACUCGAACAUUUGUCAGCGCGUCUCCAAUGAAGGCGGUUCGGCUUCCGCCAGCUGUUCUCAGUGCUUGGUCCCUGAACACGUCCUCUAACCUGUGCGUCAUUCGUGAGGAGCCUUUCACUAGGAGGUCCGCACAGUGUUAAAGCUGAUCUGACGGGAGGCCUUUUUCAUUUUGGAUACAUCGCCCCCCAAAAAAAUGAAAGAGGAAAGAAAAAAAGAGAAGGAAAGAAAAAUGAAUGAAAGGAAGGAAGGAAGAAAGAAGUGAGUCCUGAAUAUGGUUCACUGGCCCAGUCUGGAAGAGGUGUGGAAUCUGCUGGAAUCUUCCGCCUGCCACUCACGGCCUCCGCCAGGCUCCUCCGUCGUGACCUCACGGCACAGGAGGCCCGGCCAUGGUGCAGGCGGAGUGCUCGUCCGUUGCAGAGAGAGACUCGGUGGUAGGGCAAGGGCUGCAACGCCCUGCCUGUCCCCCCGCCGCUGAGCCAGCAGGUGGGGAGCCGGCCCCACCCGCAGCCCAGCACCCCCACCCCGUGCCGGUGUGUCCUCGUGCUGCUCUUGUGCCUGGUCUGUUUUCCCCCAGCUGCAGCUCCCACAUCUGUCCUGCCAACUCUUGGGAUCUUACUAAACAGCUUCUCUCUUUUCAGAUCCGUUUCCGUUCCGUGCCCCUUAAUCAGCAGUCUUCACUGCCAGUCUCUUCACACAUAGCUGGCCACCAUCUGUCACCUCAGGUGCUGUCUCUGUGCAUCCUUCUCUUCCCCUCAAUCACUGUGUGCAGAUCUGCGCACUAGAGUAGGGGCGUCUGCCAGCCACAGUGACGCGUGCGGUUGGAGUACCGUGAGCUCUCCGCUCAGAGACAGUCAGCUCCGUCCAGAGCAAAGUGUUCCGCCCUCGGGCCACAGCCCCCUUGUCCUGCCCACCUGGGCCCAGUGACCCCCAGGGCUGAAGGCCCGUGUUACUUCUCACCAUUCAGCCCUGGCCACAGGAAGGCUCGCUCACCCAGAGCCGUGUUAGGAGGCAGUGCACGAGUGCUUGUGAGUUUAAGCCGUCUCUUAGCUCUGAGGUACUUCCGCUUGGGAGUUUUAACUUUCCCAUUUUCAAAAGUAAAAUGUAAAAUCUCUUUCAGUAUGUUUCAAAUUAUAAAAACUUGAGCGAAGGCCUCUUCUGUAACGGAUGGGUAGAACUGUAUUCUGUUUGUUAGCUCUUGCUUUUUCUUUGAUAAUAGUGCUUCUAAUCCAAAAUGAAAUUAAAUUCAUUUAUAUAUUUACAGAAUGUGUUAUGCACAUAGCUUAAGGUAAAAUACAGUUAAAAGGUUUAUGGCAAAAAAAAUCCCUCUUAUCCGUUCUGCAAAGCCCGCUUCCACCCUUCCCACGGGACUCACAUCUUUUGGCUAUUUCUGGCAUUUACUGCUAGAUUUCUAAAUAAAUAAGCAUAUUCUGCUAUUUCUUCAUUCAACAAUUUUUGAUGUCAUCUGCUGACUUCCUCUUGUGGUAGAUUAUUAUUUUCUCUCUCUUACUUCUUCUUCCCAUCCCCCAAUUCCCCAGUAUAGCUAUAUUGUAAUUUAUGGUUAAAAGCACAUGGAGUUUCCAUAAUUUUGAAAAUACAUAACUAUUGUUUAUUACCCAGCCAAGCAAUAUACUGUAAUUACAUUUUCUUUCUCAUAUAACUGUUUUUUUUUCCUUUGAAGGUAAUAAUUGUCUUACUCUUUUCAUCCAUUUACUUUUAUUUUUUAGGAGUCUCUGGCUGAGUCCUUCCACACUCGUCACCCAUUCUCUGCAGUAACAUCAUUGUCCAAGGUCAGACCUUUUGGGAAGCACACCCCUUUCGGGUUUCCCUGGCACCGCCCUUCCUGGAAGCCAGGACUGGCUCUCCUCUGGCUGAGCAGCUGUGUCAUCUUUCCUGGGCAUUUCCUUGGCCCUUCUCCUCUCCUGGAGCCCUUGUCUCCUAGAUUCCCUGCUUCCUCUCUCUGUCCUAUCACAAGAUGGGAAAGCACAUAUGUAGUAGCUUCUAAGACUUGGCACAUCUGAAAAUGUCUCUUCUCUUCUCCUGCUUCAUUUAUAUCUUGGCUGGAUGUAUAAUUCCAGAUAAAAAUACUUUCACUCAGAAUUUUGAAGGCAUUGCUCCAUUGUUUUCCACUCCAAUUCUUGAUCCUCUGUAUGUGACUUUUUUCUCUCUGAAAGCUUUUAGGAUCUCUUUAUCCCUGAUUUUUGUUUUUUAAAGAUUUUAUUUUUCCCUUUUCUCCCCAAAGCUCCCCCCCAGUACAUAGUUGUAUAUUUUUAGUUGUGGGUCCUUCUAGUUGUGGCAUGUGGGAUGCCGCCUCAGUAUGUCUUAAUGAAUGUUGCCAUGUCCGCGCCCAGGAUCCGAACUGGUGAAACCCUGGGCUGCUGAAGUGGAGCAUGUGAACUUAACCACUCAGCCAUGGGGCCCUAUCCCUGAUGUUUUGAAAUUUUAUAUGACUAAGCCUUGUUUGAAGUUAUCUUUUAAAAUUCACUGUGCUGCAUUAUGUGUGUUAAAUUCCUGGUUUUGAUAUUGUACUAUAAUUAUGUAAGAUGUUACUGAGGGGAUGUGGGUGAAAGGUACACAGGACAUUCCUGUGCUAUCUUUGUAGCUUCCUGUGAAUCUAUAAUAAUUUCAAAAUUAAAAGUUAAAAAAAUAUAUAAAUAGUGACAUCAUGGAAAAUGGCAGAGGUGGACAUUCCAAGAAUCAGCCCCUCCAAUGAAACAGUCGAUAAGCUAGCAAGAAAUGACAAACUCAACUUUUGUAGAACUCUGGAUUUUAAUCAGAUACUUAAACCAACUAGGGGAGUGCCUAAUGAAUCUUAAGUGACCUACCCUGCAGAUUUUGGACUUCCCAGCCUCCAUAAUCAUGUAGGCCAAUUCCUUAAAAUAAAUCUCUCUCUCUCUCUUUUUCCAAACAGACAUUCUAUUGGUUCUGUUUCUCUGGAGAACCUUGACUAAUACACUAUUGAAGCUAAAUUCGUGUCAAUUCAAACUAGAUUUUUUUAACUUAAGAUGUUAAUUAUAAUCACCAGGGUAACCAGUAAGAAAAUAACUAAAAAAUUAUACAGAAAAAGAAACAAAGGGGAAAUCAAAAUGGUAUACUAGAAAAAAAGAAAAUCAGUCAAACACAACAGAAGGCAGUGUGGAAAGAAUUCAAGAACAAAAAGUCAUAAAAUUUAUAGAAAACAAAUAGCAAAAUGUAAGAAGCUAGUGCUUCCUUAGCAAUAAUUACUUUAAAGGUAAAUAGGUAAAAUUCAUCAAUUAAAGGACAGAGAUUGGCAGAGUGGAUGAAAAAACAUGAUACUACUAUAUAUGUUGCCUAGAAAAGACUCACUUUAUUUUUAUUUUUUUUUUUUAAAGAUUUUAUUUUUUCCUUUUUCUCCCCAAAGCCCCCCCGGUACAUAGUUGUAUAUUCUUUGUUGUGGGUCCUUCUAGUUGUGGUAUGUGGGACGCUGCCUCAGCAUGGUUUGAUGAGUGGUGCCAUGUCCGCGCCCAGGAUUCGAACCAACGAAACACUGGGCCGCCUGCAGCGGAGCGCGUGAACUUAACCACUCGGCCACGGGGCCAGCCCCAGAAAAGACUCACUUUAGAUCCAAAGACACAAAUAGGUUGAAUGUGAAAGGAUGGAAAAAGAUAUUCCGUGCAAAAGAGAGCUGGGGUGGGCAUACUUAUAUCAGAAAAAAAUAGACUUUAAGUAAAAAAUUAUUAUAAGAGACAAAAAAGGACAUUAUAUAUUGACAAGAGGGUCCAUUCAUCAAGAAGAUAAAAGUUACAACCAUAUACAUACCAAACUACAGAACCUGAAAAUAUAUGAAGCAAACAUUAGCAGAACUGAAGGGAAAAAUAACAAUUCUAUAAUAAUAGUUGGAGACUUCAAGAAUUCACAUUCAAUAAUGGAUAGGACAUCUAGACAGAGAUCAGUAAGAAAAUGAGGACUUGAACAACACUGUAAACUAACUUGACCUAACAGACAUAUAGAAAACACUUCCUCCAGAAAGAGCAGAAUACACAUUUUUAUCCAGAGCACAUGGAAUAUUCUUCAGGAUAGACCAUAUGUUAGGCCAAAAAACAAGUCUCAAUAAACUUAAGAAGAUUGAAAGCAUAUAAAGUAUCAUUGGUGAUUACAGUGAAAUGAAAUUAGAAAUCAGUAGCAUAAGGAAAACUGGAAGUUUCACAAAUAUGUGGCAUUUAAAAAACAUACUUCUAAUAACCAGUGAGUCAAAGAAGAAAUUACAAGUGAAGUUAUAUUUUGAGAUGAAUGAAAGUGAAAACACAACAUAUGAAAAACUUAUGAGAUGCAAUGAGGGCAGUGCUCAGAAGGAAAUUCAUAGUUACAAAGACCUUCAUUAAAAAAAGAAGAAAGGGGGCCAGCUUGGUGGUGCAGCUAUUAAGUUCACACAUUCUGCUUCAAUGGCCUGGGGUUCGCUGGUUUGGAUCCCAGGUGCGGACAUGGCACUGCUUGGCAAGCCAUGCUGUGGCAGGCGUCCCACUUACAAAGUAGAGGAAGAUGGGUAUGGAUGUUAGCUCAGGGCCAGUCUUCCUCAGCAAAAAGAGGAGGAUUGGCCACAGAUGUUAGCUCAGGGCGAAUCUUCCUCAAAAAUUAAUUAAAUUUUUUAAAAAGAGAAAGAUCUCAGAUCGUUUACCUGAUUUAAGGACUAGAAAAAAAAAAGAACAAAGUAAACCCAUAGCUUGCAGGAGGAAAGAGAUGAUCAAGAUUAGAGAGCAGACAAUAUAGAGAAUAGAAAGGCAAUAGAAUUCUUGAAGCUAGAAGUUGUUUCACUGAAAAGAUCAUUGAAAUUGGAAAACCUUUUAGUAAGACCAAGAAAAAGGAUUCAAAAUAAAAAAAUCAGAAAUAAAAGUGGAGGCAUUACUACAGACAUUAUAGAAAUAAAAGGAUAUAAGAGAAUACUAGGAAUAAUUAUAUACCAACAAAUUAGAUAACCUAGGUGAGAUGGACAAAUUCCUAGAAACACAAAUUACCAAAACUGAUUAAAGAGGAAAUAGAAAAUCUCAACAGACCUAUAACAGGUAAAGAGAUUGAAUCAGUAAUUUAAGACCUCCCAACAAAGAAAGGUCUAAAUAUUAAAGAAGAAUUAACACCAAUCCUUUGUAAAUUCUUCCCAAAAAUAGAGGAGGGAAUACUUCCUAACUCAUUCUGUAAGACCUAUAUUACCCUGAGACCAAAGCUAGGCAAAGGCACUCCCAGAAAAUAACACUUCAGACCAAUAUCCUUUAUGAAUACUGAUGCAGAAAUCCUCAACAAAAUACUAGCAAGCUGAAUCCAACAGCAUAUUAAAAGGAUAUACACCAUGACCAAGUGGGAUUUAUCCCAGGAAUGCAAGGGUGGUUCAACAUACAAAAAUCAAUCACUGUAAUAUACCUUAGUAAUAGAACUAAGGGGAAAACCUCCACAUGAUCAUCUCAAUUGAUGCAGAAAAAGCAUUUGACAAAACUUAACACCCUUUCAUGAUGAAAACACUAUUCUAGGAAUAGAAAUAGUAAUUCUAGAAAUAUUCUAGGAAUAGGAAUAGAAGGGAACGUCCUCCACAUAGUAAAGGGCAUUUAUGAAAAACUCACAGCUAACAUCCUGCUCAGACAGACAUCUUUCACUCCAAGAUAAAGAAUAAGAGAAAGAUGCUCAUUUUCACCACUGCUCUUCAACACAGUACUGGAAGUUCUAGCCAGAGCAAUUAGAUAAGAAAAAGAAAUAUUAGGCAUCCAAACUGGAAAGGAAGAAGUAAUAGAAGUAUCUCUAUUCACAGACAACAUGAUCCGGUAUGUAGAAAAUCCCAAAGAAUCCACAAGAAAGCUACUAAAGGAAUUCAGCAAAAUUGCAGUGUACAAGAUCAAUACAAAAAAAAUCAAUGUAUUUCUUUACAAUAGCCAUGAGCAAAUUAAAAAUAAAAUUAAGAAACCUACCCAAUUUACAACUGCAUCCAAAAGAAUAAAAUACAUAGAAAUAAGUUAAAGCAAGAAGGUGAAGGACUUGUACACUAAAGAUUGCAAAACAUUGAAAGAAAUUAAAGAAGACAAAUAAAUGGAAAGACAUCCAUUGUUCAUGGAUUGAAAGACUUAAUAUUGUUAAGAUGACAAUACUAUCCAAAAUGUUCUAUGGAUCAAUCUAAUCCCUAUCAAAAUGGCUACAGCUUUUUUUUCAGAAAUGGAAAGCCAAUCCUCACAUUCAUAUGGAAUUGUAAGGGACCCUGAAUAACCAAAACAGUAUUGAAAUAGAACAACAAAGUUGGAGGGCUCACAUUUCCCAAUUUCUUGCAAAGCUAUAGUAAUCAAAACAAUUUGGGACAGGCAUAAAGAUAGAUAUAUAGACCAAUGGAAUAGAAUUGAGAGUCCAGAAAUAAACCUGUGUAUCUAUGGUCAAUUGAUAUUCAACAAGGGUGCCAAAAGAAUUUAAUGGGAGAAAGAAUAGUGUCUUCAACAAAUGGUGCUGGGACAACUGAAUAUCUACAUAUAAGAGAAUGAAGUUCGACUAUUAACUUACAUACAAAAACUAACUCAAAAUGGAUCAAAGACCUAAAUAUAAGAGCAAAACCCAUAAAAUUCUUAGAAGAAAACAUAGGGGUAAAUAUUCAUGACCUUGGAUUUGGCAACGGGUUCUUAGAUAUGACAACAAAAGCAUGAGCAACAGAAGACAAAAUAGAUAAAUUCGACUUCAUCAAAAUAAAAGCUUUUUUGCAUCAAAGGACACUAUCAAGAGAGUGAAAAGACAACCUAGAGAAUGGGAGAAAAAUUGCAAAUUGUAUAUCUGAUAAGGGUCUCUUAGCCAGAAUAUAUAUAGAACUCUUACAACUCAACAAUAAAAAGAGAACCCAAUUUAAAAAUGGGCAAAGGAUCUGAAUAGACAUUUCUCCAAAGAAGAUAUGGAAAAUAACAAGCACUGGAAAAGAUGUGGAGAAAUUGAAACCUUUGUUCGUGCUGGUGGUAAUGUAAAAUGGUAUAGUCACUCCACUCCUAGUUAUAUACCCCAAAGUAUUGAAAACAAGUACUCAAAUACUUGUACACGAAUGUUCAUAGCAGCACUAUUUACAGUAGCCAAAAGGUGGAAAUAACUCAAAUGUCCUUCAACUGAAUGGAGAAACAAAUGUGGUAUAUCCAUACACUGGGAUAUUAUUCAGCCAUAAAAAGGAAUGAAAUACUGAUACAUACUACAACGUGGAUGAAUCUCUAAAACAUUAUGCUAAGUUUGAAUAAUGAAAGAAGCCAGACACCAAAGGCCACAUACUGUAUGAUUCCGUUUAUAUGUAAUAUCUAUAAUGGGUAAAUCCAUACAAAUGGAAAGCAGCUUGGUUGUUGCCAAGGGCUGGGGGGAGGGGCAAAUGGGGGAAAUCUACUGAAUGGGUAUGGGAUUUCCUUUGGGGGUGAUGAAAAUGUUUUGGAACUAGAUAGAGGUGGUGUUUGCACAACAGUGUGAAUGUACUGAAUACCACUGAAUUGUAUACUUUAGAAUGGUUAACUUAUGUGAAUUUCACCUCAGUAAAAAAGAAAAAAAUAUGAAUAAAUACAUGCGUGUAUACAUACAUAAAGCUGAGGUCAGGCAGCAAGGCAUCGAAAAAAAUCGCUUUGGGAACGUGGUGGUGCCUUUGGUUCCGGUAGUGAUUUCUUUGAUAAUUUCCCCAUCAUUCUCUCUUCUCUUUUUCUGGAAGUCCUCUUAGUCAUAUGUUGAGCUUCCUGGAUUGAUCUUGUAAUUUUCUUAUAUUUUCUCUCCUCUUUGUUCUCCCUUAUGGGAGAUUUCCUGGACUUUAUCUUCCACCCCUUUCACUAAUUUUUAUUUUGGCAAACUGUAUUUUUAAUUUCUGUCUUUCCUGUUCAUUAUCACAUCUCGUUCUUGCUUCACAGAUGUAGUGUCGUAGCUCCUCUCUCUGCAGAAAUAAGUGCGAAGUGAAGCUUUCUUGUGUGUCAGCGUCUCCUCCACGUCCCUUCCCAUCGCAGGCUUUCCUCAGAUGUCUCUUCAUACUGACAUGCCCCAAACCCCGCGAGAGCUCCGGGUGGAGCGCGAGGCUUGCUGGGGCUGGGCUUCACUGUCGGGUGUGCUGUGACUUCUUCCUUGAACCCCAAAGACCUUGUCUCUAGAUUGGUUCAGUUUCUCCCAAUAAGACUCAGCCUUUUGGAGGAGGCGGGGGUGUGUCUGUGUUUACCUAGGGGUCUAAGAGCCCAGGCUGUGAAAUUACCCCUUCCAGCCUGUCCCCUGCCCUCCCCUGCGUGCCCUUUCUCUGGACAGUCCCCAGGCUAUGACGGCUCCUGUCCCUCCUGUCCGACCGCCCUCCGCUGCAUCACUGCUCCUCCCUCUGCUUUCCACCUUCACGUGUGGGCUGCGAGGCUGCUGCCUCCGUGUAGUUUCUGAAGUUUGUGUUUCUGUUUUUUUUCCUUAUAGUUUUGUGGACAUUUCAGAGAUAAGGGCAAAAGGUCUUCUUCCCCACCAUGUCGAAAUCAAAGUUCUGUUCACUUUUAUAAACAAUAUUAAUUGAAAAAAAUACAUAAAAGCAAUCCAUGUUUAUGGUUAAAAAAAAAAGAUACAGGAGUCUCUGGGGAAGAGUGAAGUCCUCCCCAGGAGGAAGACUGACUGGCCUCUGCCAGUUGACUCCCGACUUUUAAGGCUUCCAGAAAUGUUUGCUGCACAUGCAAGUAUGUGUGUUUUUUUUCUUUUCUUUCUUUUAUUAAACACAGAUGGGAUCAUACUGUGUACAUUGUUUUGUGUCUUUUUCUACAUUAUCUUGCAAAGUCCCCUCUUUCGGAUUAGCUGUAUGAUAGCACUGCAGUCUUAAUUCCUGAAGGACUCGAGGGCUCCUUGCAGGGUCGCGAGGCCUUGGAGUGGGUGAUCUGCCGACUUAACAUGGAAUUGGAAGGCCUGGGGGCCCCGGCCUGCGCCAGAGCGUGAAGCCGCGGCGUGCUCCCUGCGCCCAGGACACGGAGACAGAGGCCGAGCAGCAAGUUGAUGGGCGUUCAGCAUCCACCCUGGACACUCGCUGGACGUGUGGUUUGCCGGAAGGGGCAUUCGGGAUCAGUGAGUGCCUAGAGACGUUUAGGAAGGGGACUCCAGAAAGGCAGUGAAUUUGCUCUAUGUUGGCCUAUAGCUUACCUUUACCAUUUUUUCUUUUUUUGGUGGAAAAGUUUUGUUUACUAAACAAGAAGUUAAUUUAAAUCUUUGAUAUCCCUUCCCCAGAAACCAUAGUAUGAGAGUGAAAAGGGGGUAACUUUCUCCCACUCUAUAACGUGCAACAUUCAGAUAGAAGUUUCUUAUGGGUUUUGAUGCCCAGGUUUGCUGUGAUUAUAGACCAUGGAUAUUCCCCUUGGCUUUCUCAGAAAGGACGCUGUUUCAGGGGCUGGAGUGUUUUAACGAUGCAGAGCCUGAGAUUGCCUUUGGGAGCUUGUUAAUACUACGGAUUUCAGGCUUUCAGGCCCAGGGAUUCUGCCAGGUCCAGGCUGUGGCUCAUCGCAUCAGGUGGGAGCUCACCUGGCUGAGGAGCGCCGAGCCUUCCAACCAGUGCUGGGGACUGGCCUCUGCUCCGCUGCCCUGCCAGUGCCGCAGCUUUGAGUUAUAUGGACAUCACAGCCGUUCUGCAUGCACACUUAAUUUAUUUACCAGAUUUUAUUCUCUUUCACUGACCACAGACCUUAGAUUUAAUUUAGGAGAUGGGUUUUUAAUUACAUGUAUAUAGCAAGUCAAAUAAAACAUCCCUAUUUCACUUUAGUCUCUGAACAUGAAAUGGGACACAGUUUUCCUUAUGUUUUAACCAAACCAACCAGUUUAGGUUUUUUAGAGGAGAAAUGAGUAUAAGAAGAAACUGAUUAUUUUGAUAAUGUCAUAUUACUUGCCUAAAAUUUUAUUUUUUGCCAAAAGCACAGAAGUAAGUCUAGAAUUCUGUGCCUCUCUUUAGUUUCCAGUACUGCAUCCCUGUUUUUGUGGCCGUGAGUUUGGUAGGAAUAAAGGUUGAAUGCACUAGUUACUGUGUCAACUCUUCUGAUAAACCAGAAGUUACUGGAAUGGAGGUCAAGAGAAACUAGAGUGUUCCCUUGGAAGCUGGGCUUUCCAGAGCUGUGUGAGCCCACAGGCCCCCGGGCUCCCUGUGUCGGUGCCUGCCCUGUGGUUUGGGAGCUAAUGCCGUACUGUUAGCGAAGGAGCAGCGCGGGAGCUCUCUGGAACCAGAGGCCUCCCCUCUGGUAGGCAAAGUGAUGGCACUAAAUAUUCUUUGAAGACUCUUGCACUCAUUUGGCAUUAGAACCAGCCAUUAUAACUGUAUCUGUCUAAUUCGGCAGUGGCUUUUUGUCUUCUCAAGAGUGUGACUGCCGCCAGCAUUUCUGUCCUCCUGCUAAGGAGGGGGCGGGCGUGCUUUGACAGAGGAGUUAACUGCUGGGUGUCUAUGUUAUGACUUCCAUUUUUUUUCCUGAACAGUCUGCCCUAGCAGAUCUCUAAUUACGGCUGAGCCUCAGUGAAUGCUCAAUAUAUUACGAACCAGUCUUUGUAGGUUCUGUUACAACUUCAGUACCCAAAGAAGAGGUAGGGUUAUUCUGGUGACUUUAGUGCCUGAGGAGAGUGCCCUUUGUGAGCCAGCCAUUGGAUUAUAGGUGCGCAGGAGCAAAUGUGACCAUGGAGCUUUGGUUUUCUCGUCUGUAAAGUGUAGACACUGAUACCUACCUCAAAGGAUCAAACCAGAUGUGAAGAGACUCAGCGCCGGCCUGGUGGCACCCAGUCCACUGUGCAGUUCCUGCUGGUGCUGGCGCGUCGACGGGUUGUCACUGGGCUGCGGAGUCCCUGGGGGGAACACUGGGCUUCAUUGCUGGAACAUACUUUUUUAGUGAGGGUAUUUUUUUUUUUUAACUUUUAUAAUCACUAGUAAGAGUUGACUGCCAACAGUAAAAGAGGCGAGCAGUAAGAAAGGAGUGAGUGCUGACUCAGCACUGGCUUGCAUUUCGGGCCCUCCCUUCUUAUCUGUUCUGUGCUUGUGUUUUCAGCUGUUAUAGGAGAGUUUGCUAAGGGCAGCGGUUGGCAGACAACAGCCUGUGAGCUAAGAAUGUGUUUUGCAUUUUUAAGGGGUUGUAAAUAAAAUCCCCCCCUGCAGCUGAGGAUUCGACAGAGACUGAAUGAGGCCCAUAAAACCUGAAAUAUUUACUAUCUGGUCCUGCAAAGAAGAAGUUUCUGUGAAGCCAACCUGUUCCCUAGAGAUUCCACUGCAUCUCUCAAUCAACAUAAAUCAAAGUAAAUUUGGUCCCUUCCACCAAACUGCUCCUCUUUCCGCCAUUUCUAAUUAGUGCUACUUCUAUUUCCCAAAUACAAAACCCAAGUUCUUUAAGACUUCCUCCUGCUCUUUCUCUCCAUAGCCAUUUGGAAACCGAAUACUCCUUUAAAAGGUCUCAGAUCAAUUCUGUCUUCUCACAUUCACUGUCCCAGUCUUGUUUUAGGUGCUUAUCACCUGGGGUAGCCAGCUUCCAAGACAGCCCCCGAGGAGGCUGCCCCAUGUCGUGACCAUCCCUGCGUGUAGUAUUCUCCACCCUGAGCAGGCUGACCUGUAGGGUCAGUGGAAUACUGCGGAAUAUUCCACGAUGGUGUGUGACUUCCCAGGUCAAGUCAUAAAAGACAUUGCGGCUUGCACCUUGCUCGCUCCUGCAUCACUUGCUCUGGGGCAAGCCAGCUGCCGUGUAGUGAGGACACUAGAGGAGCCCGACAGAGAGGUCCACACAGCAAAGCUGAGUGAGGGAGCCAUUUGGGAGCAGAUCCUCUAGCCCCAGUGAAGCCUUCAGCUAACGGCAACUUCAGCUAACAUCUUGACUGCAACCUCGUGAGAGACCCCAGGCCAGAGCUACCCACCUAAAGCUGCUCCUGAUCUCUGACGCAGAGAAAAUUGUGAGAUAAUAAAUGUUUAUUGUUCAAGUCCAGAGUUUGGGGGUAAUUUGUUUUGUAGCCAUAGAUAACUAAUCCUUCACUUUAUACAAAAUUUGUGCAAUCAUCUUCUAUAACUGCUCUCCCUUUCAUUCCGUUCCAUUUCUUGUCAAAUUACUUGAAAAUAAUCCUGUCAUAACUUUCUUUUGAUUCAAAA